UGCAAGUCGAACGAUGAAGUUCCUUUCGGGGAGCUAUCAGUGGCGGACGGCUGAGUAACGCGUAGGUAACGUGCCCUUAACUGGGGGAUAACAUCGGGAAACCGGUGCUAAUACCGCAUAAGUUGCCGGUUGAAAUACUGGCAAUUAAAGAAUUUCGGUUAAGGAUCGGCCUGCGUCUGAUUAGCUAGUUGGUAGGGUAAAGGCCUACCAGGGCAAUGAUCAGUAGUUGGUCUGAGAGGAUGACCAGCCAGAGUGGGACUGAGACACGGCCCACACUUCUACGGAAGGCAGCAGUAGGGAAUUUUGCGCAAUGGGCGAAAGCCUGACGCAGCAACACCGCGUGUAGGAUGAAGGAUUUCGGUUCGUAAACUACUGUCAGCAGGGAAUAAUAAUGACUGUACCUGCAGAGGAAGCAUCGGCUAACUACGUGCCAGCAGCCGCGGUAAGACGUAGGAUGCAAGCGUUGUCCGGAAUUAUUGGGCGUAAAGAGUUCGUAGGCGGUUACUUAAGUCUGGUGUUAAAUACUGACGCUCAACGUCGGCAUGGCAUUGGAAACUGGGUAGCUAGAGUGUGGUAGAGGUCUCGGGAAUUCCAGGUGUAGCGGUGAAAUGCGUAGAUAUCUGGAGGAACACCGGUGGCGAAAGCGCGAGACUGGGCCAUAACUGACGCUGAGGAACGAAAGCUAGGGGAGCGAAAGGGAUUAGAUACCCCUGUAGUCCUAGCCGUAAACGAUGGAUACUAGGUGUAGGUGGAUUCGACCCCAUCUGUGCCGUAGCUAACGCGAUAAGUAUCCCGCCUGGGGAGUACGACCGCAAGGUUGAAACUCAAAGGAAUUGACGGGGGCCCGCACAAGCGGUGGAACAUGUGGUUUAAUUCGAUGCAACGCGAAGAACCUUACCUGGGCUUGACAUCCUCAGAAUCCUUGUGAAAGCAGGGAGUGCCUUCGGGAACUGAGAGACAGGUGGUGCACGGUUGUCGUCAGCUCGUGUCGUGAGAUGUUGGGUUAAGUCCCGCAACGAGCGCAACC
rnacentral:rRNA from 1 species